CCACAUCCCCUGUGUCUGGAGGUCACCGAGAUGCGCACCCCAGCCAAGGUCUGAGGCAUCCAACACCAACUUGAUGGAGUGAGGGGUUGUUGAACGGAACCCCCUCCAGGACUAUCCUGGAGUCGGUCCACCAUCGCAGCGAGUAGGCCCAGAGAGCAGCGUGUGGCCUGAAGCACCUUGACAUUCCUUUGGACUUGAGACCUGGAGCUGCCCUUGAUGAGCCAGUCGUCAAGGGCCCAGCCAUCGAAGGGCAGGUCUGCUGAGCCGGUGGACAACCCAGAGAGGAGCAGCCGAGAUAGCGGAAG